CCUACGGGUGGCAGCAGUGAGGAAUAUUGGUCAAUGGACGAGAGUCUGAACCAGCCAAGUAGCGUGAAGGAUGACUGCCCUAUGGGUUGUCAACUUCUUUUACAUGGGAAUAAAAUGUUCCACGUGUGGCAUUUUGUAUGUAUCAUAUCAAUAAGGAUCGGCUAACUCCGUGCCAGCAGCCGCGGGAAUACGGAGGUUCCGAGCGUUAUCCGGAUUUAUUGGGUUUAAAGGGAGAGUAGGUGGAUUGUUAAGUCAGUUGUGAAAGUUUGCGGCUCAACCGUAGAAUUGCAGUUGAAACUGGCAGUCUUGAGUACAGUAGAGGUGGGCGGAAUUCGUGGUGUAGCGGUGAAAUGCUUAGAGAUCACGAAGAACUCCGAGUGCGAAGGCAGCUCACUGGACUGCAACUGACGCUGAGGCUCGAAAGUGUGGGUAUCAAACAGGAUUAGAUACCCGUGUAGUC
rnacentral:rRNA from 1 species